UUUUUUUUUUUUUCCCCACUGUACAGCAUAGGGACCCAGUUACACAUACAUGUAUACAUAAUUUUUUCUCCCAUUGUCGUGCUGCGAAGUAAGUAUCUAGACAUAGUUCUCAGGGCUACACAGCAGGAUCUCAUGGUAAAUCCAUUCCAGGAGUAAUAGUUUGCAUCCGUUAACCCCAAGCUCCAAAUCCCUCCCACUUCCUCCCCGCCCCCUCAGGGAAACAACAAGUCUGUUCUCCAAGUCCAUGAUUUUCUUUUCUAUGAAAAUGUUCAUUUGUGCUGGAUAUUAGAUACCAGAUAUGAGUGAUAUCAUAUGGUAUUUGUCUUUCUCUUUCUGACUUAUUUCACUCAGUGAGAGUCUCUAGUUCCAUCCAUGUUGCUACAAAUGGCAUUAUGUUGUUAUUUUUAUGGCUGAGUAGUAUUCCAUUGUGUAUAUGUACCACAUCUUCCUAAUCCAAUCAUCUGUCAAUGGACAUUUGGGCUGUUUCCAUGUCUUGGCUAUUGUGAAUAGAGCUGCAAUGAACAUGCGGGUGUCUUUUUUGAGGAAAGUUUUUUCCAGAUAUAUGCCCAAGAGUGGGAUUGCUAGAUAAUAUGGUAGUUCUAUGCAUAGAUUUCUAAUGUAUCUCCAUACUGUUCUCCAUAGUGGUUGUACCAGCUUACAUUCUCAACAGUGAGGAGGGUUCCUUUUUCUCAACACCCCCUCCAGCGCUUGUUAUUUGUGGACUUAUUAAUGAUGGCCAUUCUGACUGGUAUGAGGUGGUAUCUCAUGGUAGUUUUGAUUUACAUUUCUCUAAUAAUCAGGGAUGUUAAGCAUUUUUUCAUGUGCUUGUUGGCCAUCUGUAUAUCUUCCGUGGAGAAAUGUUUAUUCAGGUUUUUUGCCCAUUUUUCCAUUGGGUUGUUGGCUUUUUUGCUGUCGACUUAUAUAAGGUGCUUGUAUAUUUUAGAGAUGAAGACCUUAUCAGUUGCAUCAUUUGAAACUAUUUUCUCCCAAAAAGUUGUCUUUUUUUUCCUUUGCUGUACAAAAGCUUGUCAGUUUGAUUAGGUCCCACUGGUUUAUUUUUGCUUUUAUUUCUGUUGCUUUCAGAGACUGACCUGAGAAAAUAUUUAUAAGAUUGAUGUCAGAGAAUGUUUUGCCUAUGUUCUCUUCCAGGAGUUUGAUGGUGUCUUGUAUUAUAUUGAAGUCUUUCAGCUAUUUUGAGUUUAUUUUGGUGCAUGGUGUGCAUGGUGCAUGGUGUUCUAUUUUCAUUGAUUUGCAUGCAGCUGUCCAGGUUUCCCCAGCAAUACUUGCUGAAAAGACUCUUUUUCCCAUUUUAUGUUCUUGCCUACUUUGUCAAGGAUUAAUUGACCCAGGUGUCAGGGUUUAUUUCUGGGUUCUCUAUUCUGUUCCAUUGGUCUGUCUCUCUGUUUUGGUACCAGUACCACACUGUCUUGAUGACUGUGGCUUUGUAAUAUUGCUUGAGAUCUGGAGAGUUAUGCCUCCUUCUUGGUUUUUGUUUCUCAGGAUUGCUUUGGCAAUUCUGAGUCUUUUAUGGUUGCAUAUAAAUUUUGGAUUGUUUGUUCUAGUUCUGUGAAAAAUGUCAUGGGUAAUUUGAUAGAUAGAAUCUGUAGAAUUGCUUUGGGUAGUAUGGCCAUUUUUAUAAUAUUAAUUUUUCCAACCUAGGAACAUAGGAUAUCUUUCCAUUUCUUUACAUUUUCUUUAAUUUCCUUGAUUAAUGUUUUAUAGUUCUUGGCAUAUAAGUCCUUUACCUCCUUGGUCAGGUGUAUUCCGAGGUAUUUGAUUUUGUGAGGUGCAAUUUUAAAAGGUAUUGUAUUUCUGUAUUCCUUUUCUAAUAUUUCAUUGUUAGUAUACAGAAAUGUGACUGAUUUCUGAAUGUUCAUCUUAUAUCCUGCUACUUUGUUGAAUUUGUUGAUCAGUUCAAGGAGUUUUUGGGUUGAGUCCUUAGGGUUUUCUGUGUAUAGUAUCAUGUCAUCUGCAUACAGCAACAGUUUUAUCUCUUCUCUUCCUAUACGGAUGACUUUUAUUUCUUUGGUUGUCCAAUUGCUGUGGCUAAGACUUCCAAUACUAUGUUGAAUAGCAGUGGUGAGAGUGGGCAUCCCUGUCUUGUUCCAGAUUUUAGUGGGAAGGCUUUCAGCUUUUCUCCAUUGAGUAUUAUAUUUGCUGUAGGUUUGUCAUAAAUGGCUUUGAUUAUGUUAAAGAAUGUACCCUCUAUACAUACUUUGGUGAGAGUUUUUAUCAUGAAGGGAUGUUGGACUUUGUCAAAUGCUUUUUCCGCAUCUGUUGAGAUGAUCAUAUGGUUUUUGACUUUUCUUUUUGUUAACGUGGUGUAUGACGUUGAUGGAUUUGCGUACGUUGAACCAUCCUUGUGAACCUAGGAUUAAUCCCACCUGGUCAUGGUGUGUGAUCUUUUUAAUAUGUUGUUGCAUUCAGUUGGCUAAGAUUUUGUUGAGAAUUUUUGCAUCUAUAUUCAUCAAUGAUAUUGGCCGAUAGUUUUCUUUUUUGUCUGGUUUUGGAAUUAGGGUGAUGGUGGCAUCAUAGAAUGUCUUUGUGAGUAUUCCUUCUUCUUCAACCUUUUGAAAAAGUUUUAGGAGGAUGGGCACCAGAUCCUCUUUGUUUGUUUGGUAAAAUUUGCCUGUGAAGCCAUCUGGUCCUGGACUUUUAUUUGCAGGGAGUGUUUUUAUUUGCAGGGAGUGUUUUUCAAUUUCAUUUCUAGUGAUUAGUCUGUUCAGUUGAUCUAUUUCUUCUUGAUUCAGUUUUGGCAGGCUGUAAGACUCUAGAAAGUUGUCCAUUUCUUCCAGAUUUUCAAAUUUGUUGGCAUAUAAUUGUUCAUAGUAUUCUCACAUGGUUUUUUUGUAUUUGUGCAGUAUCCAUUGUGAUUUCUCCUUUUUCAUUUUUUAUUUUUUUAAUUUGGGUUCUUUCUCUCCUCUUCUUGGUGAGUCUAGCUAGAGGUUUGUCAAUUUUGUUUACCUUUUCAAAGAACCAGAUCUUGGUUUUAUUAAUUUUCUCUAUUGUUUUUUGAAUCUCUAUUUUAUUGAUUUCCUCUUUGAUCUUUAUGAUUUCCUUCCUUCUGCUGACUUUAGGGUUUUUUUGUUCUUCUUUCUCUAAUUCAUUUAGGUGGUGGGUUAAGUUGUCAAUUUGAGAUCUUUCUUCUUUUAUGAGGAAGGCCUGUAUUGCUAUGAAUUUCCCUCUGAGCACUGUUUUCGUGGCAUCCCAUAGAUAUUGAGUAAUUGUGUCUUCAUUAUCAUUUGUCUCGAGGUAUUUUUUUAAUUUCCAUAUUGAUUUCCUCAUUGACCCAUUGGUUUUUUACCACUCUGUGUCUUUUGAUUGGAUCAUUCAGUCCAUUGACAUUUAAGGUGAUAAUUGAUAGAUGUUUAUUUAUUGCCAUUUUAAACCUCAUUUUCCGGUUGAUUCUAUGAUUCUCCAUUCUUCCUUUCUCUUUUUAGUUGGAUGGUCUCCAGUUAUUUUCUGCUUGAGUACUUUUCAUUUUUUGUGAAUAUAAUUUUCAGUAUUGAUUUGUGAUUGCCCUGUUUUUUAAGUAUGUUAACCCCUUCCUACAAUUGUGUGUUUUAGCCUGAUAGUCCUGUAGGUU
ensembl:lncRNA